rnacentral:snoRNA from 1 species
UUGCAGCCAAUUAAGCCGACUGAGUUCCUUUCCUCAUGGGGGCCCAGUGUGCAAUGGCUGCAAACAGCAGCUUCCCUGGUAGUGAUGCAGCCUGUUUGUUGUAUGGGUUGCUCUAAGGGACCUUGGAGACAGUC